AAGGGCGCUAUGUUCAAAAAAUCUGAAACUGGAGCUCAAAAUUUGAAAAAAAAAUGUAAAAAACAGGGGCGUUGGCCUAUUCCAUGGCUUCUAGAGAAAAAUAAUGAGGGAUGUCACGGGGUAUGACUAUAUAGGUCUUGUAGAGGAGAAACAGGCGCAUCUUUUGCGCAAGGUAUCGAAGGGCGCUAUGUUCAAAAAUCUGAAACUGGAGCUCAAAAUUUGAAAAAAAAUUGUUAAAAACAGGGGGGUUGGCCUAUUCCAUGGCUUCUAGAGAAAAAUAAUGAGGGGUGUCACGGGGUAUGACUAUAUAGGUCUUGUAGAGGAGAAACAGGCGCAUCUUUUGCGCAAGGUAUCGAAGGGCGCUAUGUUCAAAAAUCUGAAACUGGAGCUCAAAAUUUGAAAAAAAAUUGUUAAAAACAGGGGGGUUGGCCUAUUCCAUGGCUUCUAGAGAAAAAUAAUGAGGGGUGUCACGGGGUAUGACUAUAUAGGUCUUGUAGAGGAGAAACAGGCGCAUCUUUUGCGCAAGGUAUCGAAGGGCGCUAUGUUCAAAAAUCUGAAACUGGAGCUCAAAAUUUGAAAAAAAAUUGUUAAAAACAGGGGGGUUGGCCUAUUCCAUGGCUUCUAGAGAAAAAUAAUGAGGGGUGUCACGGGGUAUGACUAUAUAGGUCUUGUAGAGGAGAAACAGGCGCAUCUUUUGCGCAAGGUAUUGAAGGGUGCUAUGUUCAAAAAUCUGAAACUAGGGCUCAAAAUUU